rnacentral:rRNA from 1 species
AUUGAACGCUGGCGGCAGGCUUAACACAUGCAAGUCGAGCGGGGAAGGGUAGCUUGCUACCUAACCUAGCGGCUGACGGGUGAGUAAUGCUUAGGAAUCUGCCUAUUAGUGGGGGACAACAUUCCGUAAGGCAUGCUAAUACGGCAUACGCCCUACGGGGGAAAGCAGGGGAUCUUCGGACCUUGCGAUAGCAGAGGGGCCUAUGUCCGAUGAGCUGGUUGGUGGGGUAAAGGCCUACCAAGGCGACGAUCUGUAGCGGGUCUGAGAGGGUGAGCCGCCACACUGGGACGGAGACACGGCCCAGACUCCUACGGGAGGCAGCAGUUGGGAAUAUUGGACAAUGGGCGCAAGCCUGAUCCAGCAAUGCCGCGUGUGUGAAGAAGGCCUUUUGGUUGUAAAGCACUUUAAGCGAGGAGGAGGCUACCGAGAUUAAUACUCUUGGAUAGGGGACGUUACUCGCAGAAGAAGCACCGGCUAACUCUGUGCCAGCCGCCGCGGUAA